rnacentral:pre_miRNA from 1 species
UUCAUACUCCCUCCGUCUGGAAAUACUUGUUGAAGAAAUGGAUGUACCUAGAUGUAUUUUAGUUCUAGAUACAUUCAUUUUUAUCCAUUUUGACGACAAGUAAUUCCGGACGGAGGGAGUACUUU